CAAAGGAACUCACCUAUUUAGGAACCCAGCACUUGUUUUUCAGAUACACUUUUGGGCAUGAACGCUGAUUUUUCACAAGUGGAAACCAAGGAAAAGUGAGCAUGUGCCCAUAUGUGUUGGGCCGUGGGUGAGGGUGAUUAGCAAGCCAGUGGGAAGCGCUACAGAACGAAGGCGGAGCUGGUGGUGUGGAUGUUUAACAUUGGAGAAUGGUCAGAUGAACACCAAACAGAACACAGGAAUUGUGGAGAUCUUGUAUCUGGUCCAUCUACUGACGUGCCUCUGGUCCCUGUGCUGCUGCCAGGUUACUUUCUCCUCCUCCCAUCUAACAACUUCUGUUGGUUUUGAAUUCACCAGCCAUAACGCACGUCUCAUUACUCCCUUUAAAAGUUUCUAAAUAGUCAUUUUAAGAUGUUAAAUUGGCAAAGGAGUGCUAAUCUCUUCUUGGAUUUUGAUUUUUUAAUGUUCCCCAUUGUGGAUCAAUCUGGAACACCGCAUAUGGCAAUCCCCACGUUGGGUAAUCACGGUUAUUAUUGUAAGUGUCCCCCAGAGAAUCUUAACAACUGAAGUGGGCAAUUAUCUUAUUUUAAAUUUAAUUUUAAAAUGAUCCACAUAAGGAGAAAAGUUUUAAUGUGAUCAAAGGAUUCAUUUCAAUAACAGCUCCUGGCACCGGUGUAAGUAGCGAUUGAUGCUCGCAGCCUCCAGCAUCUAUCAGAGCUGAGUGUGCAUCUGCUAUUGACAGCACACGACAUUAAGAAAUGCUUCAGUCUGUAACAACAGCCAUCCAUUUUUUUUUUUUUCCUAGAACUUUGCAGCAUCUCUGUAGAAUUGGAGCCGUGGUUUUACUGAAGUAUUACGGACGUUACGCCAUUACGGAGCGGGCAGCAUCCUCUGUCGGAGGCAGCCUUCUUCUCAAAGACGGAUCCCACCAGCACUUAACGGAGCUGGAAGCAAGAGCACAAUAAAACUCUAUAUGCGAGAGAACAUGAUAAGUGAAGAAAUAGAUAAUGGGGUGGUUAAUGCUGUUAAAUACCUUGUGCUUAAUGUUGGCAGCUCGAUUGGUUUAGCCAAUAAAAAGUUUUAAGUGGCUGCA
rnacentral:lncRNA from 1 species